CAGCAGCCGCCACGGUAAUACAGAGGGUGCGAGCGUUAAUCGGAUUUACUGGGCGUAAAGCGUGCGUAGGCGGCUUCUUAAGUCGGAUGUGAAAUCCCUGAGCUUAACUUAGGAACUGCAUUCGAUACUGGGAAGCUAGAGUAUGGGAGAGGAUGGUAGAAUUCCAGGUGUAGCGGUGAAAUGCGUAGAGAUCUGGAGGAAUACCGAUGGCGAAGGCAGCCAUCUGGCCUAAUACUGACGCUGAGGUACGAAAGCAUGGGGAGCAAACAGGAUUAGAUACCCGCGUAGUCCCUGUCUCUUAUAC
rnacentral:rRNA from 1 species